GAACUGCGAUAAGUAAUGUGAAUUGCAGAAUUCAGUGAAUCAUCGAAUCUUUGAACGCACAUUGCGCCCGCCAGUAUUCUGGCGGGCAUGCCUGUUCGAGCGUCAUUUCAACCAUCAAGCCCCCGGCUUGUGUUGGGGACCUGCGGCUGCCCGCAGGCCCUGAAAAACAGUGGCGGGCUCGCUGUCACACCGAGCGUAGUAGCAUACAUUCUCGCUCAGGGCGUGCUGCGGGUCCCGGCCGUUAAACGACCUUCAUAACCCAAGGUUGACCUCGGAUCAGGUAGGAAGACCCGCUGAACUUAAGC
rnacentral:misc_RNA from 1 species